GAGUUUGAUCGUGGCUCAGAUUGAACGCUGGCGGCAUGCCUUACACAUGCAAGUCGAACGGCAGCAUGAUCUAGCUUGCUAGAUUGAUGGCGAGUGGCGAACGGGUGAGUAAUACAUCGGAACGUGCCCUGUAGUGGGGGAUAACUAGUCGAAAGAUUAGCUAAUACCGCAUACGACCUGAGGGUGAAAGUGGGGGACCGCAAGGCCUCAUGCUAUAGGAGCGGCCGAUGUCUGAUUAGCUAGUUGGUGGGGUAAAGGCCCACCAAGGCGACGAUCAGUAGCUGGUCUGAGAGGACGAUCAGCCACACUGGGACUGAGACACGGCCCAGACUCCUACGGGAGGCAGCAGUGGGGAAUCUUGGACAAUGGGCGAAAGCCUGAUCCAGCAAUGCCGCGUGUGUG
rnacentral:rRNA from 1 species